CGAAAAUCUAUGGGGAUUGGUGAGUUGGAAAGCUUUUCUUUUUCUUCUCUUGUGAUUAGCUUUCCAAUUCCACCCAUUCCUAUGGUUUUUCG